rnacentral:lncRNA from 1 species
UUUUUUUUUUUUUUUUUUUUUUUUUUUUUUGAGACAGAGUCUGGCUCUUUCACCCAGGCUGGAGUGCAAGCGAGCCUCCCAUCUUGAAAAAAAAAAAAAAGAUAUUGUCGUAACUUUAUUUCUACCUCUCUAUGCAGAAAAUCCCACUCAAUCUGGAGAAUAUUACUUUUAUUUAUAAAACUGAAGCAUAACUAUCUUGUGUCUCCAGUAGGGGUACUACUACUCUCAUUAAGUAUAAAAAAAGUUUUUAAUUGGUCAUGAAAAUCUUAAUAAAUUUAAAUUUGGUCCUCAGAAUGAAAUGCUAUAACGAAUGGCUUCAACCACACAAUAUGGAACAUUCUGAAAUCCCUGUUUUUUUUUUCAAAAAGUAAACUCCAGCUACUGACUGAACAAAUAGAACUGGAUGCUAGUGCUAAUGUGCUAAUUUUGUUUUUCAUGCCAAAGAAGCUCUGUCAAAGAGGUUUCUAACCUGUCCUCCUUGUUUCCUGCAUUAUACUUUUUACAGAAAGUUCCUAACCUUGAAGGGGGUACAACCAUGAUGUAGAAUAUGUAAUUCAACUAUUUUGCUUUGGAAUAUGCAAUGUACUUUGCUUUUCUGAUUUAUAAGGCUACUCCCUCCUCUCCCAGGGUAAAGGAAAGUACAAAAGGAGAGAGCUUCACACUACUCUGCCGACUAAAACAUGAUACCCUCUCUAUCACUGCAUUUAAAACUCAUUUUAUUUUUUUAUUUCUCUCAAGUCUGGAGUUGAAAAAUCAGCUCACUUGAUCUUAUCAAAUCAUCAAAUAAAAGGUUCUAGAAAUAGCUUCCUAUUUGUGGAAAGCGCCAGAAGACACAUAAAAAUGGAAGAGAGCUCUUGAAUCGUCUUUCCCAAAGCAUUCUGUGCGUGAUGAAUGCAAGCAAAAUCCUGGAAGGCUUUUCUCUGAAUUUAAGGUACUUCCUAAUGGGGCUGAUUUGAAAGCUAAUGUAAAAUGCAAUCAGAAAGCAGCCAGAAACAGUGACAGACCAACAGCAAAGUUCUAAUACUUAUUCCCUGGAGUUCACGCUGCAUACACAUAUUCCGUGCAGUCGCAUUAGACACUGACUCUACAGGCUCACCUGUUUCAGGUUACACAUGCUCCUCUCGGUCUGGUUGUCCUGGUUUGCCCACUCCACACAUUCACAAAUGACUCAAGUCUCACCUGCCCCCGGCCGUCCCAGCUCCUGACACCCCCGCGCCGGUUCGCACCGACGUGUCGGCGCACACACACACACCCGUACCCACGUGUCCGCACACACCCUCGCCUCCGGCCCCGCCCAGGAGGCGGACCCCGGAGAGGCGAGCCGGCCCGGCCUCCGCGAAGUGGGUGGUGCCGGGCCCCGCAGCCCCGCCGGCGCUGUCAUCGCGGACGCCGUGCACCGCGUCCUCAGCGCAAACUCCUCGCGGCCGCCGAGGUUCCCCAAAAUGCCAGGGCCUCGCCAGCUCCCAUUUCAAUUGAAAGCGUCCGCGCUCCUCACUGCACGGAGGUCCCUGGAACCCCAGAAUUUAAAUAAGGGCAGGGGUCAAGCAUGGAGACUAUCCUCCUUUUGACUUUCUGCGUCGCAAUUCCUCCCGGGCGGCAGGGCGGCAGGGCGGCAGGGCGGCCGAGCGAGGGCGGGAGGCGCUCCCAUUUUGAAGGCUUGUCUCGCCUUUCCCGGCGCGGGGCUCUCUGGCGGGAGGGCGAGCCCACUAGAACGCCAGGGAGGCGCACGCAGGGUCCUAAGGGCGCCGUGCCCCAACCUCCCCGCUCCCCAGCCCCAGGUCAUCGCUGGAAGUGCCUGCAGCCGCUGCCGCCGGAGCCACGGGAGGAGCCGCAGCCGCCCCUCUGGGAGCCGCGCGCUGACGGCAGUGCCAGGCGGAACGCGGCCCCGGGCGACGGCAGCUCCGCCGUACCCUCCUCCCUGGAACCCCGGCCCCCGCCCUGCGCACCUCGGCAGCAGCCGAACCGCAGCUUGGGACUCCGACUGUCACAGCGCCUCUCGCCCGGCUCGGGGUUUCUCCGUUUUCGGCGUCACAAU